rnacentral:tRNA from 1 species
CGGGGACUAGUUCAUCGGUAGAACGCCUGUUUUGGGAACAGGAGGCGCAGGGUUCAAUUCCCUGGUCCCCGA